GCAGUGGUGGUUCAGUGGUAGAACUCUCUCUUCCCAAGUGGGAGACCCAGGUUCAAUUCCUGGCCAAUGUA